GUGGGUGCUGAGUGCUGCUGUGGAUCCUCGGAACGAGGAGGUGAACCGUGAAGAAGCACAACUGCAGGAAGAGCGGUCUCACUGGUGGAGGAGGCGUGGCAGUAUGUUCUCCAGAGUCCACAGGGUCAUCCAUCCUGGCCAGAAGUAGAGGUGAUAGGCUGAUGGGGGAUAAGAGAUCAUAUCACAGUUAUGUAUGGAGGAGUGUGGAGUUAAGGUGGAGCAAGAGACUACAGAGUGAUGGAGUGGACCCAGAGAACUUUGGCCUCAUUCCCUUGGAAACUGGAGAUAUUUCAGAAUAUUUCCAAAAGUUUGUGGAAUGACAUUUGGCAUAGUGAGAAAGACUACUUGGGAUUCCAGAGGAGGGCUGAGAGCUUAAGCAAAACUGCUGGGACGAGGCAGCUGGACUCCAAAGGAAGAUCUGGCCCAGGCCUCUCCAAGAGACAUCAAAGACACCAGACAACUGUUAUUUACAUGUCACAGAAGUGGUAUUUGUGCACAAGACAUUCACUGCAAAAAUGGUGCUGUUUCAUCCACCACUUGACGUUAAAAUAUGGAAAUGCCGCCAGGAGUUUCUUCUGGGUCUCUCAUAUGAGUGCAUGGCCCAACCACUUGGGCCAUCUUCCACUGCUUUACCAGGUGCAUGAGCAGGGAGCUAGUGGAGCCACUGGAACUGGAACUGGAACAGGUGCCCAAAGACAUGUCCCUAGCUAGAGGAACAUCCUCCAACACUGCAAAGCCUAUGGGGUUGAUGCAGGCCCAACUUGUGGCCAGGUCCAGGGAGGCCCCUCGCUUGGAUAUCCAUUCCUUUUGUCUCAGUGUUGCAUUAGAGAGUUCCCUGCCCCCCAUACUUUGAUUGAAUCUCUAUGACAUAAGACCUCCUGACUGGAGUAUAGCCUGGGAAUCUCAUUUGGAACCCUUAGAGUGCCAUAGGCAGAACACACCAAAAUCACAGGAAAUGGGAUUUGCCUCCUGGGAAAGAAAAGAGGGUUUACUCAGUUUGCUGCUGAGGUCUAACAAGCUCUGAGAGCAACACUGAAGUCCUAUUGUGACCACCUGCCAAUAAACAGUGAGGCCUUCAGGGAACA
rnacentral:lncRNA from 1 species